rnacentral:sRNA from 1 species
GCUACCCCUCCUAUACCUGGUAGAGAAAGGAGGCGUAUUAUAUGGACAUGUUUAUGUCUCUAAUUAUCACUAUUAUGGCUGAGAUAGUUUCAUACUAUAUCUGCAAAUGGCUGGAUAGAGAUAAUCACAGGUAGCCAGCCUGGGGACUAAGCCACCCUUCCACAACGGCAUAGAAAACCCCACGAGCCACCAACUCGUGGGGUUUUCGUUCAUUAUAU